AUAUGGAAAAUAAGUGUUUUGCCU
rnacentral:siRNA from 1 species